rnacentral:rRNA from 1 species
UACGGGGGGGGCAAGCGUUGUUCGGAAUUACUGGGCGUAAAGGGUUCGUAGGUGGCCCGCUAAGUCAGACGUGAAAUCCCUCAGCUCAACUGGGGAACUGCGUCUGAGACUGGCGGGCUUGAGUGCAGGAGAGGAACGCGGAAUUCCAGGUGUAGCGGUGAAAUGCUUAGAUAUCGUCAAGAACACCGAUAGCGAAGGCAGCUUACUAGACUGUAACUGACGCUGAGGCACGAAAGUGUGGGGAUCAAACAGG